rnacentral:rRNA from 1 species
GACGAACGCUGGCGGCGUGCUUAACACAUGCAAGUCGAACGGAAAGGCCCUGCUUUUGUGGGGUGCUCGAGUGGCGAACGGGUGAGUAACACGUGAGUAACCUGCCCUUGACUUUGGGAUAACUUCAGGAAACUGGGGCUAAUACCGGAUAGGAGCUCCUGCUGCAUGGUGGGGGUUGGAAAGUUUCGGCGGUUGGGGAUGGACUCGCGGCUUAUCAGCUUGUUGGUGGGGUAGUGGCUUACCAAGGCUUUGACGGGUAGCCGGCCUGAGAGGGUGACCGGCCACAUUGGGACUGAGAUACGGCCCAGACUCCAACGGGAGGCAGCAGUGGGGAAUAUUGCACAAUGGGCGGAAGCCUGAUGCAGCAACGCCGCGUGCGGGAUGACGGCCUUCGGGUGGUAAACCGCUUUCGCCUGUGACGAAGCGUGAGUGACGGUAAUGGGUAAAGAAGCACCGGCUAACUACGUG